UACGAAGGGGCUAGCGUUGCUCGGAAUCACUGGGCGUAAAGCGCACGUAGGCGGACUCUUAAGUCGGGGGUGAAAUCCUGGAGCUCAACUCCAGAACUGCCUUCGAUACUGAGAGUCUUCGAGUUCGGGAGAGGUGAGUGGAACUGCGAGUGUAGAGGUGAAAUUCGUAGAUAUUCGCAAGAACACCAGUGGCGAAGGCGGCUCACUGGCCCGAUACUGACGCUGAGGUGCGAAAGCGUGGGGAGCAAACAGG
rnacentral:rRNA from 1 species